rnacentral:rRNA from 1 species
AUGAGCACGGCCAUGGCACCACUCCUGUUCGCAGUGCUCGUGUUGCCGUUUGCAGCACCUGCCGCGGUGACGAUGGCUAGAAGAAACUGCUCCAGCUACUGUGGUUAUCCGUCGAACCCGCCGCCGCCUUAUCCGUUUGGAGUAGGGCCUUCGUGCUCCAUGCCUGGUUUCAAUCUCACCUGUGAUGCAGAUAACGGCACUUACCUCCUGCUGGGCAGCCCAACCAUGAAGGUGUCUUUUUAUUCCAACGAAUUCAAUCACAACCUCCGCACCAGUAUCUCGUACUUCGUGGAGAUGAUUGCCGGCGUCCGCGACUACUCCCUCCACUGGGAAGCUCCUGCCAGGCCCUUCGUCAUAUCUGGGUCGUCAGACAUGUCGUUGUUUGUUGUUGGCUGUGGUGUGAAGGCCUCGCUGUUCAUUGGCAACUCGGCCGUUGAGGUCGGGAGCUGCUUCGCCGUCUGCGCGGAAGCUCGAAUCUUGGAGAAGGUACUCGCGGGUACUUGCAGUGGCCUCGGAUGCUGUCUCAUUGACAUACAAGUGAACCUAAGGGCGUUCACCCUCAACAUCUCGCGUAUCAGCGAUUCGGCGCGCUCGGAAGGAGUGCACGCCUUCAUCAGCGGAGAUAAGAACCGAUUAUUCAGUCCGAUUGAAGCCUUAAGAUCUAUACUGCCAGUGCCAGUGCCAGACGAAUACGAGUAUUCCACUGUGAAUCCUGUACUGGAUUGGUCUAUUCCCUACCAGCCGAACUGUAAGCGCGCCAUGCAGAACAAGGGCAGCUAUGCAUGCGUUAGUAAGGGCAGUGAGUGUCACGACUCGCCAAUCGGUGGAUACCUUUGCUAUUGCCAGCGUGGAGAGGGCAACGCGUACGUCGACGGCGGCUGCGACAACCCGCCAGGUUAUGAGUCCAUCCGGCCGAGAACAGAUUGUCCCACAUCGUGCGCUAACGUGAGCACCCCAUUUCCCUUUGGAACAGAGCUAGGAUGCUUUGCAAAACCCCACAUGUACCUCAAAUGUAAUCCAACGAGCUAUCUUCCUGUCCUUCAGUUGACCGAUCGAACGAUCAUCAGUGACAUAUCAAUAGAUGAUGGUAUCUUUCACGUUCAUGAGACAUCCAAGGAGCCAGACGACUUCCCAGAUAGUUCAGACCCUGCGCUCUAUGCCUUAUCAGAACAACGAGGUGUGGUGACGUGGGCUAUCGAUAGUAUGACAUGCAAGAACGCAAAGCUGGACAAAAGCGACUAUAGAUGCUUCACCGUCCAUAGUGACUGCAUUGAUGUUACUGAAGACAGAACGACGAAACAUGUUGGUUACCGGUGCAAGUGCUCUUCGGGUUUUGAAGGGAAUCCUUAUGUCCAAGAUGGAUGCAGAGAUGUUGACGAGUGCCUGCAGCCAGAUAAAUACGUCUGCAAUGGUAUUUGCCAGAAUAAUGUUGGGAACUAUGCAUGCAUCAAGUGUCCUCGUGGAACAAAUUUCGAUGUCGUCACAAGGAAAUGCAAACCAUCUAGUGCAAUAUUAGGUGUCACUAUUGGACUAAGCAGUGGCGGAGGCAUCCUGUUUCUUGCCGCAGUUGUUGCUAUUCUUACUCGGAGAUGGAAGAGAGGCGUUCAGAAACGCCUGAGAAGGAGGCAUUACCGGAAGAACAGAGGCAUUCUGCUAGAACAGCUGAUCUCUUCCGACAAAAGUGCCAGCGAUGGCACAAAGAUAUUCUCCCUGGAGGAGCUGCAAAAGGCGACGAAUAACUUCGAUCACGCCCGCGUGGUCGGACGCGGCGGCCACGGCACUGUGUACAAGGGCAUCCUUACCGACCAGCGCGUGGUGGCCAUCAAAAAAUCAACGCUCGCGGUGAUCAGCGAGAUCGACCAGUUCAUCAAUGAAGUGUCCAUCCUGUCGCAGAUCAACCACCGGAACGUGGUGAAGCUCCACGGAUGCUGCCUCGAAUCCGAGGUCCCUCUGCUCGUCUACGAGUUCGUCUCCAACGGCACGCUCUACGACCUCCUACACCGCGAGCUCAACGGUGGCUUGUCGCCGUUGCCCUGGGAGGAGCGCCUAAGGAUCGCCACCGAGAUCGCGGGCGCGCUCACGUACCUGCACUCCGCGGCUUCAGUGUCGAUCCUGCACAGAGACGUCAAGUGCAUGAACGUGCUCCUGACGGACAGCUACACCGUCAAAGUUUCCGAUUUCGGCGCGUCGAGGCUGAUCCCGAACGAUCAGACGCACCUGGUGACCGCCGUUCAGGGCACGUUUGGGUACUUGGAUCCGGAGUAUUACCACACCGGCCAGCUCAACGAGAAGAGCGACGUUUACAGUUUCGGAGUGAUUCUCGUAGAGCUGCUGACGAGAAGGAAACCGAUCAUUCAGAACGAGCAGGGCGAGAAGCAGAACCUGUCGAACUACUUCUUGUGGGCUAUGAGGGAGAGGCACCCCCUCGAGGAGAUGGUGGAUGCUCAGAUCCUUGAGGAAGCGAGUGAGGAGGGGGUUCUGUGCAUGGCUCGGUUGGCGGAGGAGUGCCUCAGUCUGACACGAGGGGAGAGACCUACCAUGAAGGACGUGGAGAUGAGGCUGCAGCUCCUGACGGGGCGCCGUGUUGCACCGAGGGCGGGGCGGGACGAAGCGGCACGGCCUCGCUGUGAAGCUGCGGGAGACGGCGGGCGUGGUAGCGUUGCUCCGGCGAUUGGUCAGCACGGCUCGCGUCAGUUCAGCCAAGAGCAGGAGUUCAUGUCGUCUCAGCGUGUACCGCGGUAG